UGAACGCUGGCGGCGUGCCUAAUACAUGCAAGUCGAGCGAACAGACGAGGAGCUUGCUCCUCUGACGUUAGCGGCGGACGGGUGAGUAACACGUGGAUAACCUACCUAUAAGACUGGGAUAACUUCGGGAAACCGGAGCUAAUACCGGAUAAUAUAUUGAACCGCAUGGUUCAAUAGUGAAAGACGGUUUUGCUGUCACUUAUAGAUGGAUCCGCGCCGCAUUAGCUAGUUGGUAAGGUAACGGCUUACCAAGGCAACGAUGCGUAGCCGACCUGAGAGGGUGAUCGGCCACACUGGAACUGAGACACGGUCCAGACUCCUACGGGAGGCAGCAGUAGGGAAUCUUCCGCAAUGGGCGAAAGCUUGACGGAGCAACGCCGCGUGAGUGAUGAAGGUCUUCGGAUCGUAAAACUCUGUUAUUAGGGAAGAACAAAUGUGUAAGUAACUAUGCACGUCUUGACGGUACCUAAUCAGAAAGCCACGGCUAACUACGU
rnacentral:rRNA from 1 species